UAAUGGCGAAUGAACAGGGAUGAGCUCAAUAUGGAAAUUGUGACUUCUGGCUUUGAAUUGUAAUCUCAAGAUGCAUUGCUAACUGGGGCGUAGGUGAAAGCCUCUUGGAAAAGAGAAUCAUUGAGGGUGAGAAUCCUGUUUGUCAUCUACAGUCCUCCGUGUACGGCAUGCGUUCUAAGAGUCACGUUCCUCGGGAUUGGAGCGCAAACUGGGUGGUAAAUUUCAUCUUAAGCUAAAUAAGGGUUCGAGACCGAUAGCAAACAAGUACCAUGAGGGAAAGAUGAAAAGGACUUUGAAAAGAGAGUUAAAAGUGCCUGAACUUGCUGAAAGGAAAGCGGAUGGAACCAGUGUUGCUUGGCGAGAUUGUUGCGUGCGAAAGUGAUUGCUUGCUGCAUCAGCGCAAGCGGUGCUGUGGGUUUUGAUCUGGCUGUGCGCGAUGCUUCUUGCCUCGUGUGUCAUCGUCAGUGUGCUGGUGAGGACAACUCUUGGGACAUGGUAGCCUGCCCCUGGGCGUGCGAAUGUGCCUUGCAGAACUCACUGUCAUAUUGCUCCUCCACAUGUGAGGUCGUGCUGCCUUUCUUUGGCACCUGUGUUGGCGUUUGUGCCUGGCCUAGGUGUCGUUUGCUGAGCACCU
rnacentral:rRNA from 1 species